rnacentral:rRNA from 1 species
UACAGAGGGGGCAAGCGUUGUUCGGAAUUACUGGGCGUAAAGAGCUCGUAGGCGGUUUGUCGCGUCUGCCGUGAAAGUCCGGGGCUCAACUCCGGAUCUGCGGUGGGUACGGGCAGACUAGAGUGAUGUAGGGGAGACUGGAAUUCCUGGUGUAGCGGUGAAAUGCGCGGAUAUCAGGAGGAACACCGAUGGCGAAGGCAGGUCUCUGGGCAUUAACUGACGCUGAGGAGCGAAAGCAUGGGGAGCGAACAGG